AUAAUCCAUAUAUCUGUGAUUCCGCGAAAACAAAGUAACCAACAGGAAAUCUAUCAUCGUGCCUCUUCGUUACUGGGGUCGCUGCCAAUCAGCACUGAAAAAGCUUUUUCAGAGAAAACUGCAAAGAAACUUCGAUUUCCGAAACUCAAUCUUCAAAAACGGUAAGUUUCGUUCCAGAAACUUCCAUUCUGAUACUUUUCAUCGAACAAUAAACCCUAACCCUAAUGAAGCGACCGGUCGACGACCCUAGCCUCAACGGCGUCGCAAAGAAGCCGGUGUUCCUCACCAAAGCCCAGCGCGAGCAAUUGGCCCUCCAGCGCCGCCAGGAAGAGACCGAGGAGCAGAAACGCCGCCAGCAGCUUUUGCUAUCCCAGGCUAGAUCUUCUUCUUCCUCCGCCGCCGCCGCCUUUGUUUCCGAUUCUCCGGCGAGCAACAAUGACUCUCACAAGCCCUCCGAUUCCGACCGCCGCGACCGCGACAGGGACCGAGAGAGGGAGAGAGAUAGAGAUAGGGAUAGGGAUCGGGACAGGGACAGGGACAGGGACAGGGACAGGGACAGGGAGAGAGAUAGGGAUCGGUUGGGCCGCGAUCGGGACCGUGAUUCGGAGAGGAGGAAUCGCGAGAAGGAGCGCGAAGAGGAGGUCAAGGGUCGGGACAGGGCGCGCCUGGAGAAAUUGGCCGAGCGAGAGCGCGACAAAGAGCUGGACUCGAUCAAAGAGCAGUAUCUGGGAUCGAAGAAGCCGAAGAAGCGGGUUAUUAAGCCAAGCGAGAAGUUUCGGUUCUCUUUCGACUGGGAAAACACUGAGGACACUUCUAGGGACAUGAAUUCCCUGUACCAGAACCCUCACGAGGCUCAGCUUUUGUUUGGACGAGGGUUUCGUGCCGGCAUGGACCGCCGGGAGCAGAAGAAGCUCGCGGCGAAGAACGAGAAGGACCUCAGAGAGGAAAUUCGCCGGAAGGAGGGGAUUGAAGAGGGGCCUGAGGAAGCCGCUGCUCAGAAGCUUAAGGAAGAGGCUGCUGAUCUCUAUGACACGUUUGACAUGAGGGUUGACCGCCAUUGGAGCGAGAAGAAGCUUGAAGAGAUGACGGAGAGAGAUUGGAGGAUUUUCCGUGAGGACUUCAAUAUUUCCUACAAGGGUUCAAGGAUUCCUCGCCCUAUGAGGAGCUGGGCUGAGAGUAAAUUGAGUUCUGAACUGCUAAAAGCCGUGGAGAGAGUUGGCUAUAAGAAACCGUCCCCAAUUCAGAUGGCGGCUAUUCCGCUUGGAUUGCAGCAGCGUGAUGUUAUUGGGGUUGCUGAGACUGGUUCCGGUAAGACUGCUGCUUUUGUUCUUCCUAUGCUGACCUAUAUCUCGAGGCUGCCUCCAAUGAGCGAAGAGAAUGAGGCGGAUGGGCCUUAUGCUGUGGUGAUGGCACCGACUCGUGAAUUGGCGCAGCAGAUUGAAGAGGAGACUCUUAAAUUUGCACAUUUCUUGGGCAUCAAAGUGGUGUCCAUUGUUGGUGGGCAGUCGAUUGAGGAGCAGGGGUUCAAGAUUAGGCAGGGGUGUGAGGUGGUGAUCGCCACUCCGGGGCGUUUGAUUGAUUGCUUGGAGAGGCGUUAUGCGGUUUUAAACCAGUGCAAUUAUGUGGUUCUUGAUGAGGCUGAUCGUAUGAUCGAUAUGGGGUUUGAGCCUCAGGUCGUUGGUGUCCUGGAUGCCAUGCCUUCGAGCAAUUUGAAGCCAGAAAACGAGGAUGAAGAGCUUGAUGAUAAGAAGAUUUACAGAACAACUUACAUGUUCAGUGCCACCAUGCCUCCUGCUGUGGAGAGGCUUGCUAGGAAAUACUUGAGAAAUCCUGUUGUGGUCACCAUUGGUACUGCUGGGAAAACAACGGAUUUGAUCACCCAGAAUGUGAUUAUGACCAAGGAGUCUGAGAAAUUCACUAGAUUGCAGAGAUUGCUUGAUGAGCUUGGCGACAAGACUGCCAUUGUGUUUGUUAAUACUAAGAAGAAUGCAGACUAUGUGGCCAAGAGUUUGGACAAGGCAGGGUAUCGUGUGACGACUUUGCACGGCGGGAAAUCGCAGGAGCAGAGGGAGAUCAGCCUUGAAGGUUUUCGAACCAAGAGAUACAAUGUCCUUGUUGCUACUGAUGUUGCAGGGCGUGGUAUUGACAUACCUGAUGUGGCUUAUGUCAUCAACUACGAUAUGCCAGGGAAUAUCGAAAUGUACACUCAUCGUAUAGGACGUACGGGUCGUGCAGGGAAGACGGGGGUUGCCACAACUUUCUUGACGAUGCAUGAUACCGAUGUGUUUUAUGAUCUCAAGCAAAUGCUCAUCCAGAGUAACAGUCCUGUGCCGCAUGAACUGGCAAAACAUGAGGCUUCGAAGUUUAAGCCAGGAUCAAUUCCAGAUAGACCACCUAGACGACAUGACACUGUUUUUACUCAUUGAGAAAUGGAUAUUGGGUGUGAUAUUGACAUUUUGGUGAUGUCAUCAUAAGGCUGAAGCCCAUGAGAUGAGCUAAAUUAGAAGCGUAUUGUAUUGAGAGUGAGGGGGAGAAAAAAAAAAAAGCCUCAUUGUUCUGUGUAGAGUUGCUCGAGUCUGGUAGUCUUCAUCACUUGUCUAUGUCCUGUAACCAGGGUGGGGGAAAAAAAUGAGCAUGAAACAGCAGCUUGAAAAUUUUUCUGCGUAUUGGAGUUCGAUUUAAAUUCAAUUGGCAGUGAACAUAACAGAAAAGAGGGAUUACAAUGUCAAUGCCUUGUUAGGUGGUGGUGUCGGCUUUUUUUUUUAAUAUAUAUUUAUAUAUAUAAAUUUUCCAAAGGACAAUGAUGCUUUAUUUAGGAGAUUUUUGUUUGAAGGGUUC